UGCGGCGGAUUAGGUAGUUGGUGGGGUAACGGCCUACCAAGCCGAUGAUCCGUAGGGGGCGUGAGAGCGUGGCCCCCCACACUGGCACUGAGACACGGUCCAGACUCCUACGGGAGGCAGCAGUGGGGAAUAUUGCACAAUGGGCGAAAGCCUGAUGCAGCAACGCCGCGUGAGGGACGAAGGCCUUCGGGUUGUAAACCUCUUUUCUGAGGGACGAGGAAGGACGGUACCUCAGGAAUAAGUCUCGGCUAACUACGUGCCAGCAGCCGCGGUAAAACGUAGGAGGCGAGCGUUAUCCGGAUUUACUGGGCGUAAAGCGCGCGCAGGUGGCUUCGUGAGUCGGACAUGAAAGCUCCUGGCUUAACUGGGAGAGGCUGUUCGAUACUGCGGGGCUUGAGGUUGGGAGAGGGACGCGGAAUUCCCGGUGUAGUGGUGGAAUGCGUAGAUAUCGGGAGGAACACCAGUGGCGCAAGCGGCGUCCUGGCCCACACCUGACGCUGAGGUGCGAAAGCGUGGGUAGCAAACAGGAUUAGAUACCCUGGUAGUCCACGCUGUAAACGAUGUCAACUGGGUGUCGGUAGUUUUACACUAUCGGUGCCGAAGCUAACGCG
rnacentral:rRNA from 1 species